rnacentral:rRNA from 1 species
UACGGAGGAUCCAAGCGUUAUCCGGAUUUAUUGGGUUUAAGGGAGCAUAGAUGGAUUUUUAAGUCAGUUGUGAAAGUUCGGGGCUCAACCCCGUAAUUGCAGUUGAUACUGGAUAUCUUGAGUACAGUUGAGGUAGGCGGAAUUCGUGGUGUAGCGGUGAAAUGCUUAGAUAUCACGAAGAACUCCGAUUGCGAAGGCAGCUUACUAAGCUGUAACUGACAUUGAGGCUCGAAAGUGUGGGUAUCAAACAGGAUUAGAUACCCCUGUA